CUCUCAGUUUUUGUUUGAUUGGACAACUCAUUCUUUUACUUUCACUUUUGGAGGACAUUUUCGUUCGGUUUAGAAUUUUACGUUGGCAGAUGUUUUCUUUGGGCACUUCAAGGAUAUCAUUGUUAUUACCUGCCUUCUCUAUCUUCUGAUGAAAAGUCGGUGUUCACUUAUUGUUUCUCAUUUGAAGGAUAAAAUGGAAGUGAUUGCUCUUUCUGAUUUGCUUUGGGAAGUGAUGAAACAAAAGAUGAUGAUUAUUUGUAAAAGAAGAAUCAAUAGUCGCUGAAUGAGGGCCUGAAUGAUUCUCCGAUGAGUCAAAGACAAAGGAACUACCAAGGCGCAGAGAAGUCAGGCAACGUACCCAAGGGCACACAGCUCACAAGGGUGUGUGGCUGUGUCUUGAUAUGGGGCCUAAGUCUCCUUCCAUCCUCACUGCUCUGCCUCACUUUGGAGCCAUUCAAUUGAAGUUUAUUGAACGAUUGAAAAAUCGAAGAUCAAGUGAAGAGUUUGAGGUUUUGGAAUUGGAAAAGCCUUCAGAAUUUCCUGGAACCCUCAGAUCAUUCUUGAAGCCCUCCCUGUAUGAAGGAAACAUCUCUGUUUCCUCCAAAAGAAAGGCAGAGCAAUCUUCCUAAUUUAAGCAUCUUGGGUACAAAUCUUUAGAUUGAGAAUGUGUAACUUCAAAAUAGUCAAUAAAAAAAAGACUAACAUCAAGAUAUAACAAAAUGCAUUAAUGAGAGUCUUGAGGGUACAUCAGUUUGUUGAGAACUCAAAUUUUCCUCUAGUCAUUGUGAUGCUAUUGAAUAAGUCACAUUUGUGUUUAUAAUUGGUUUAACUUCUUCAUUUUAACCAUAUGUUUGUAUCUGGUUUAGUUAAAAGAAAAAAAUAGUAAAAGAUUUACCGGGUUCAAUCAUAUAGUUCUUUUAAAAGCUUUGGUAAUGGGGAGCCAGCAAGGGUUUCUGAACAGAUGUUUGAUUUUAUUAGACUUUAGGAAGAUUAAUAUGGGCAAUCUACUUAGUUGCAUAGGAUGCUGUAUUAACUAGCCCACAGUGGCCAUAGCAGUGGGGUUUUCAGAGCAACUGCUUUUGAUCAGGGAGUAACUUCUAGUGCUACUCAAGUUAUCCUACAUUACAUGGUGCUGACUGUGCUUUUGUAUAGAGUGAUCCUCUUGGACAUCCGAGUGCCUUCCUGAGUACCCAAUACUGAGUCCAAUUCAUGAGAGACAAGUAAAGACUGCAGGUAAAGUCCCCAAGCCAGUGGGUCUCAUUGGUAGAGUUCACAUUGCUUCUCUCUUAAAGUGAUUGAUCACUGAUAGACUCAGAUGACAAGGGGAGCAGCAGUUGGUGAGACAUGAGUAUGGUCCACCCAUUAGAGAUGGCUCUCAAAGUAUAGAUGUGUAAACACAUUUCAUUGUUAUGAGUUUUAUGAGCACCAGAAUGAAGCACAUUUGGCUUUUAUCACUGGGCAUUAAAUAGGGGAAGAUGGAUGCAAUGCAGUGUUCAUGUUAUCCUUUAUAUUAUGUUCAAAAUUAUUAAGCUGCACUUAGGACACAUUUGGAAAAAAAUACUGGGAUUUGAACAUCACAUAGAAAAGCCGGUGUAUGUUUCACAGGAUGUUGGGCUUCAGGAGAGAGAGAAGAGGAAGAGGGAAGAGAACAGUCUUUACAUACUUCAUUUUUCCCCCAUACAUCAUACACAAAUAAUAAAAUAUUGUCCCAAAGAUUUUAGUUAAUUGUAAUGUAUCUCUGGAUAUCCCUCUGAGCAGUCAUUUCUGGAGUCCAUACACAGAAGAAAGACCAGUUUAUUAUCUGCUGAACAAUAGGCUAACUUGAAUCAUUGUUAUUAUUCAUUUGGAAAGUCUAAGAAAAGGCUGCAUUCUUAGACAAAACCAGGAGAUAGUUCUUUGCCUGGUAGGAGUGAUGGUGCUUGGCCAAACAUAGCCAGCAGAAUGUGAGCUAGCCAAGGAAACAGAGAUAGGGCUGGAUUCCUCAGAGAGACAGUGAAUCUUGGAAAGGUGGACAGAAGAAGCAAAUUAUGAGGAGGUAUUUAAAGAAGGAAGACAGAUUUGUCCCUAUUUGUAGACAGACUAAGUAAAGCAGAUGGUUGCUUCUGAAGUGUGAGUUUAGGCAGGCCUCACUGCCCCAAAUUAUCUUUAAUGUUGGCCAAUCAUUGUAUCAGAAAUUCCUACCAUCAAGAACUUUUAAGCUGAUGCAGUGAUCACCAUCAUUAAAUGCAAAGGAUAACUGGAAAGGGAAAUGCCUAAACUUAUUGCACAGAUACUGUUGUUUGCUCAUACAUAGGCCAUUUCCCCUUUAUUGCUAACAAUGUCCCAGUUUUGUUCAGAUACAGGGUGAAUAUUAUUGGAUUUCUGGGAAGAUGGACCCACCAGUUUAUGUGUGAGGAUGUUACCCAGUUCCAGCCAAAGGGAUAUAAAGAAGAUUCUGCUGGAGGGAAGUCCUUCGAAAGAUUUUUCUGCUGAUGAAGAGAGAUAUAAAGUGACAGACUUACCCAAUUUCUGACUUUUAUGAGGUCUUGAGAGGAGAUGAUGCCCAUAACUGCUGCAUCCAUCUUGAGAUUGUGAAAAGAAGGGAAAGAAACAGGCUGAGAUCCCAACUCAAAGUUGAUAUCCACAUAGCAAUCAUCAACCACUGGACCUUCUGCUGGUUGCAGGUCCUUCUAGUUGUGGGAUGUGGGACGCAGCCUCAACAUGGCCUGACCAACGGUGCCAUGUCCGCACCCAGGAUCUGAACCCUUGGCCACAGCGGAGUUCGCGAACUUAACCACUCAGCCACGGAGCCAGCCCCGCAAAGCUACCAACUUCUACCAAGUAGAUUGGCCAAAUAGAUUCAGCACACUUCCACACAGAUCCAUUUCAUACCUUUCUCUCUCCUCCCCAGUGACCGUAGAAGCUGACCAAAAUAGAAUUCAUCACGCAGGCUUCCAUGUCCUCUGAAUUUUUGUUGGGUUAAGCCGUUGGAAGAAAGUAGCAGGAGAACAGGGGAUGAGAAGAGAGAGAAGUUUGAGUGUUUAUUUCUCCUUACUCCCUCCUACUUUUUUUUUUUUUUUGAGGAAGAUUAGCCCUGAGCUAACUCCUGCCAAUCCCCCUGUUUUUGCUGAGGAAGACUGGCCCUGAGCUAACAUCUGUGCCCAUCUUCCUCUACCUCAUAUGUGGGAUGGCUUCCACAGCAUGGCUUGACAAGCAGUGCCAUGUCCACACCUGGGACUGAACCUGUGAACCCUGGGCUGCUGAAGUAGAACAUGCGCGCUUAACCACUGCGCCACCGGGCUGGUCUUGUACACCUUCCUGCUUUGAUACGACUGUCAGGGGCUAUACUCCUCUAAGGCUAUAGCCCCUGUGGAUAGUACAUUUUUCUUUCGCCAGCAUCUAGUAACUCCAAUUUCUCUCCUUGAUCCUUCAGACCUAGAUAACAUAUUUCCACUGCCUCUGGUACUUGAUUAUCUAAUCAUCACUUGGUGGUACCGAAUGUAGCCCACACGUCUAUAAAUUGUCCCUUUACAGUGUACCAUCCCUUUCCUGAAGGGACUUUAACUAACAGAAUUAUUGGUGCCAAGGAUGUCAACCCCUAUACCCUAAAAGAUGGAAUUCUAGAAUAAAACUGCUCAUAUUUUUGAGUAAUACACACUUAAUCUCCAUGAGGACACUGAUAACCCAUGAUUGCAGUUAUUAAAAUUAUCACUGGUGAAGAUAUAGAGUGAAUUACAGGUGGAGGUCAAGGUGAAGGGAGAUCAAGUGGUUGAGGUACUUAAUUGCUAUGGUGAUAAUGGUGAUUACAUUGGAUGUGAUGGUGGAGCAACUGAUUCUAACUGUACUAAAGAGCUUACAAAAAGAAUAAAAAACGAAGCUUAAGGAUUUAACCUCUUAACUCAAGGCAUGGUCAAAGAAUCAGAAAGCUUCUAAGGCGGUCCUAAGGGAAACCAUUCUUUUUUUAGCUACAGACAGGGCAUGGAUGAAAGCCAGACAUAAGUUCUGAAUAUACACAUUUCUGAGUUGCAAUAGACACCAAACCAAGCUCAUAUACUAUGUAAAGGUAUUGGCUGGGCAAAAAGUACAAUUUGGAAUCUUGGAUAAAGAUAUUUGGACAAAGAUGAAUCUGAGAAUUUUGAAUCUUCAUAUCCUUCUGGAAGGAGGUCUCAUCAUUUGAUUGAUCUAGCCUUCCUUUGGGGAAAAAAGAAAAUUUUCAAAGACUUUGGUGAAAUUACCUGGCGCAGUUGACUUACAUAUGAAUGCCUUUUCUUCUCACAACCUCCUGCACCACUUUCCAAUGCCUUACCAAGAAGGUAAAUUCCAAACACAGAAGUAAAAGAAUUGCUCUGGGAAGAGGUAAUAAAUGCAGCAAAAGAGUUUCAGGACCUUGUCAAGUUACAUUCCAAAGGGAUGGAUCAAGCCAAAUAUAUACAGAUGGAGAACUUGUCGACUGGUGAGCAAGUUCAGCUUUGACAACCGGGCCACUUGGACUGUGUUAAUCUUUUCCAAGGCUCUGAAAAUGAUUGUUCCAACAGAAGCAGUGCCAAACGACAGAAAGUUCUCCACGUCUGUAUUUGCUUGUACAGGUAUUAGACCAGAGCUCAUUUGGUGCAAAUCUGGAGCUAGUUUUACCUUAACCAAAGCAGGUACAGAGACAUUACAGCCUCUCAUCAGUGAAUAUUUGGAGUAUAAUGGGUUUCCAGACUUCAGGUCACUAGUACACAAUGAGAUCUCGGCCCACAAGAAGAGUUCGUCUUUUGAGAUAAUAUUGAUUCUGGAAAAUAUUUCAGUUACUCCUGCCCAUAGCCACCAUAUCCAGAAGUCAUGACUUUCCCAAAAAGAAAGAAUGGAAGGAGAGGAAGAGAGAGAAGGACAUGGAUUUUUGAUACUUGAAACGACAUUCCCUUUGUUUCAUAUUGGACUAAGGUCUCUUCCUUCUUUUCUACCUUUCAUUUUUAAAAACCAUUCAGCAAACACAGAAUAUUGUGAGAUGCUACGAAAAUGGCCUGGGACAAGGCACUUAUCAUUCUGCCCUCAUGGAGCUUACUUCCUGUGUUUGAAUUACUUGUUUUUCAUCCCAACAUUGAAAUUCUGCCCUCAGCCUGGUGGCACCUUACAGAGAUUUUCACAGAGAAUUCUACAAUAGCAGGAAAGGGAAAAUAUAAGUAGAUCAUUGCCACUGAAUUUGAUGCUUUUUUUGUCUUUAAUUUUCUUUUACAAUCUACCAAUCACCUGCAUUUACCAACAAAUUAUUUUGGGGGAAAGGGCAGAGGAAUGGAUGAUUCAUACUGCUUCUCUUAGAGAGUUCCAAAUCUCAUAAGGGAGAGAAGAUUCUUCCACAUGUAUAGACCAUAAGUAAAAGGCAGCGUUUCCAUGUGACCUUAUUACCUGGUUGAUUAUGCCCCAGUACUUUGCUUUUUAUUAAUCAUUCAUAUAUUCAUUCAUGCAAUCACUCAAUGAACAUGAGUUGAACACCCAUUAAAAGGAAGGCACUUUUAUGCACAAAGUGUUUUGAAUGAUAGCAACUAAUUCAAGGGAAGCACUGAAGAGCCCCUACAGACUCCAUAAUCUACCUUCAGACAUUUCAAAAUAAAAAGCUUGACCUGCGUCACUUGCCCCAGGAGGCCCUAACUUCCAAUAGGUCAAGUCCUUUUUCUAAGUUUUGGUUUGAGUUAGCAGUUUUCUUCACCUCUUCCCUCACCACGUACCACCUCCUCCUCUCCACCCCUCAAAUAAAACAUAUACAGAGUCUCUCAGGCAAAUAUACGCACCAAGAAACACACAAUUAAGUAAUUCUCGAUCUUGUUCCCAGGUCUGGUAGUCAGUAAUAGUUUCUAAGGGCCCAGUAGGAACCUGUAUUUUUAUCCUAGGCAUCUUCUAAUAUCAAAAAAUAGUUCUAGAAAUGCUUAAGAGAGAGGUAGCUAUGUUUAAGUUUUGUGAUGUUUUUCCUUAGCUUAUUAUUUUUUACAACCGAAAUGAAAUGAAGUCUGAGCCAAGUUUAUAUUGAUUUUUUUUCAAACAAUACUAUCACCCUAAUACAUCCUAAUCUUUCAAUUCUAAUUGGACACAGAGAAGUCAACAAUCGAGCUUUAUUUCCAACUUCUAAUUGGCUGUAAACUAGUGAAGUGAGCGUGUACUUUUACUAAACUUCACCCAUCAAGACUAUCCGCCUUCACAGCAUCACAAAUUCAGCUCAUUAUAGCAGCCCACCUGAAGCGCCCCUUGCCCCCCAUCCAUACUGCAAAGCCAAUUACAUUCACGUAUCUGCCAUGCAGUUUGCUUUCAGCUCCACAAACUGUAACAGUGAGAAGAUAAUGCAGGCUCUUGUUACUAUUUUUCAUCUUUGUGAAGGUCCUCUUCUAAGUCGUGUUUCCCAUGUAGGUCUCCUCACUGGCUUCUCUAUCGAAUUCUUCUGUUUCUCUGGACCUUUUAACUCACAUUAUCUUGUAUUACAGGAAGUAUUACUGCUUACUUCUCUCUUGAGCUGGCAUAUCCCAGGACAUUCCCACUUGAUAGGUGUAAUUUAAUUUAAAUACUACUUUCCUUGUAAACUACUCUCUUUAAGGAGUGGAGUUAUUGGGAUGGGGUGGAGAUGACAAUUUAUAUUGGGAUGUAAAAUGACUGGUGGUCAACUCGAAAGUUCUCUCUACCAUCUUUGAAAUUUUGUCUACAAGGAUGUUAGUCAUAGUCCAUUGUUUUGGCACAUUUUGCAGUGCUUGUAUCCUAUUCUAAAAGUAAAGCUCCCUGAAGGUGGGUUCUGCGUUUUAUAUCUUUUCAUGCUUCUCUCUUGUGCACAUUAAUCAAAUUGCCUUAGCAAUAGUAGGUGCUUAACAAAUGUGCACUGAAUGAAUGAACUCCAGCUGCCUCUAUCAUUGCCUCCCUUGCUGUUCCAAAGUGGGGUAUCACAGGACACCAAGCCCUGCUGGGUGAAUGAGUUAUACUCAAGCACUACCUAUUUCUCAAAGGCAAAUCACACACACUCUGGUUGAGAGGCACAGGCUUGUUAUUAAUGAUGCUGGGAAAUGUGCCUUGUGACUAGGGAUGGGUGGAGCGCUUUCCACGUUACAGGAAAGCCUCAGUUAACCAGGACCCAAGGGGUCACAAUCCUCAAUUAGAAUUUGUUUCUAAUUUGAGAAGAAAGAGACAAAGGAUAGACAACUUGCUCACAUUGAGGAGUUAGCAAAAUAAGAGGUAAUGAAGUUAAAUAAAAUCAUAUUGGUAAGGAACAAUUUAGGACCAGCUCCAUCUCCCACAUGAUAUGCAUCUUUAUCUCUCGCUCUGCAUAUGAAGAUUACAUCUGUGAUUUGUAUCAAGAUAGAAAACAAUACUUAAGCAAGUCAUUUAUGAUUAAAAUGUUUGAAACCCAGAUAACAUCCUAGGGUCUCUAGGUUUAUAAACUGUAAUAUACUUAUGAAGACCUCAAGACCUUAGGGGAAAAAAACAAUUAACAAAAUAUUACUUAACAAAGAAAAGCCCAAUGCCAGGUGUGGCUAGUAGAAGAGGUUCUUUACCUCAUACCAAUGCUCCUUACCCUAGACCAGAGACAAGGGACUUUCUGACAACUUUCAUACCUUCUUGGGCAGACUGGACAAGUAACUUCUGCCUUUCUCUUUUUCUUCUCACUGGCCCCUCUCCACGGAAAGAGCUACAACCAAUUAGAUUGGUCAGUCUUGUGCUUACCGGGACUUGUUGACAGAGGUGCACUUCUUGUACCCUGAGUCUGUCUGGAACCUGCAUCUCUCCUGGAUUGGUUAUUAGGGUAGUGGGAUUUCAUCUGCUCCCUUCUCCCUUAUAGGAGCCUCUCCUCCCUAUGCAGGCAAGACACCACCCUUUGCCUCCCCAUUUGUAACUGGUGGGUAAUGAGAUCCACGCAUUCCCAUGGACUCAGCUGACCCUGAUUUUUAAUCAAAUAUGAUGCUCUAUUUCCGUCCUCAAUCCAGGCCAUGUCUUUCAAUAUAGUUUACCAGAAACUGUUUAUCAAUCACCGAUUAAUAAAUUUGAUGUUUUAAAUCUUGUUUGGCUAAUGCUUCUUGUGUCUAGUCUCUUCAUAGAUUAAAACUUGGCGAAAGGAGGAUGGUAUAAUUAUUACCUCCAAUUUCUAACCCUCAGGUACAAUCAAAUCUGAAUUUACCAUUAUCUUAAGCUAACUUUUUUUUUGUACUAGGCUUCUAAAGAGGAAAUAAUUUACCUAAGAAAAACUGAAUGAUAGAAUUUUUCAAAAGAAAAAUUCCAGAAUUAGUCCAUAUUUAGUUUGAUUUCUCAUCUCUCUGAGCCAAGAGUGAGGAAGACGGGUGUUGGUGGUCUGAUGGUAAAAGAGAAGGAAGAAAAUUCUGUAUAUACUCUAAAAAACGGGAGAGUGAAUUGAGUAGAGAAACACAAUAGGAUCUCUGGUUAGUGCUGAGGGCCCACCUGAAGUAUGUGGUCUUAUAUUUCAAGUGAAACUAGUUAAGAAGUUGAUAUGGAUCUUGCCAGUCAUUACAAGCCAAUUCCUCCUUGCACUCCUUCUUUCUUGAAGCUAUAAGCACUCUGCUGAAUUCAACCCCUAUCCUACACUUGGGUGUGUGCAUGUUGUGAGUAUAUAAAUUGUCACUAUGUAAAAAUGUAGCCCUAAACCAAACAUUGCUUAAUUUGCCUGGCUUUGAGCUUUAAAACAUAUUGAAUGCGUUCUUCUGUGACUUGAUUUUGUUCCAUAUAAUAUUUAUUAGCUACAUCCAUAGUGUUGCUUAGAGAUGUAAUUCAUUUAUUUCCACUUAUUGUAUAGCUUUUGUUUGUGCUAUUAUGAAAAUGCUGUAUGACCCUUCUCAUGCAUAUCUUUUGGUGUAAGUGUGCAAUUUCUCUGAGUUACUCACCUAAGAAUGAAAUUGUUUGCUCAUAGAGUAGACACAAGUUUAAAGAUAAUGCCGACUUGUUUCCCAAAUUGGUGGUAGAAAAUUAUAUUCCCUCCAGCAAUGGUUCCUAGAACAAUUUCAGUUGCUUAGAUACAGGCACUAGAUAGUCAGAUGGAUAGAUUUAACUAGAUGGAGGGUUUGUCCAAUGAAUAUGAUAGAAGGGCAAGGGAAUUAAGAUUUUAACGAAGCAGUGAUUAAAAUGAAGUUCCAUGGAAGUUAAGCUGGAUAGAGUAUAAAGUAAGGAUUUCAGUGAAAGAUGCAUAAGAUAAGAAUAAUACGGAAUCCAUGAAUUAGGGGUCCCUUCAGCUGCACUGCAGAGAGGUAAAUGGUGAGGGGUGGUUGCACCCUUGGGAAGAGAGCCCAAUGAAAAGCAUAAGAGAAGCUUUAGACUUCAGACAAAGGGAGAGCAGAGUAUCUAGAUAGAAUUGGGAGAAGGGAGCAAAAACUUCUUCUUGGAGAUAUCCAGAUACAUAUGUUUGCUCUUGUGUCAGAAACUAUUCUGAGAAAGUACAAAAGCAGUGAAAUCUAAUAAGUUAAACUUCUGCAUUCAGGUACAUCUGAAUAGCUAUGCAGAGUGAGGAUAUGUCCUUGUGAGUAUAAACCUAUUGAGAAUAUUUAUUUGAACUAUGUACAUGACACAAGAACAUCAAAACAAAAAUAAAAACAGAGAGCAUUUAAGGUGCUUGAGGAAAUUCAUUCAGCUCACAGGUUGAAAAAUCAAAAUGCAAAACUGAGUCCAUCAACUUUACUACCAAGGGUGCUGUAAGGUGGUGUCUGGAGUGGUGAUGCUUAAGCAUUUUUGGCAUGGAUUUCUUGGGGAAAUUUCGUAGUUUGCCCUCUCCCUUGAGAACAAGCCUAGACUUCCAUAAACAUUACAAUUUUCAGACCAUUUUAGGAAGUUCCAGAGCCCCUGAAGCUCCAUCUUUGGAUUCCCUCUGGGUCCAGGGCAAAAGCACUACACAAGUUGUGUGAGUUGUGUCCUGUAGGGAGGGAUCCAGACUUCGGAGCAAUGGGAAGAAACAAGUUUGGCUGGCCCUCCACUCACCAAGCUGGGUGCUUCUAAGCAACUGUAUUCAAACACAGAGAAACCUGUUUUUUCCUAAUACAUCUGCCCAAAGAAGAUACUUUUUUGUAAUUCCCAAAAAGAUGUGCUGGGGCAAGCCCAGGUUGUACUUCUUCUUAUACAUGGUCUCAGUGGUUUAUUUAAUCAUUUCACAUUACAGAUUCUUUUUCAAUUGGUUGUCGUCAGAAAUUUAACAUAUACAGGCCCCCUAUUGUCAGCUCUAUUGUCCCCCUUGGCUGUGUUUGCUAGUGUCUGGAGGGCAUGAGGGAUAUUUGCAUCUCCCUCAGUACACAGCAGUGUCCUUAUACACUAAGAUACUCAAACACUAUUUGAUACUUGAUUGAUUACUGUUUGGUAGAUGAAUUAAACCUAAAAGGAGUUUAACAAAUAAACUAUUGUUUAACAGUCUAGAGGUAUCAAUGUUUUGAGUUUUAUUUAAGCUUUUCCUUUGGCAGAGAGGUAGACAUAGCCCCAGACUGAAAAGAAUGAACUGUAUCCAGCUCCUAUGUGGCAUCUGUAAGGCUCCCGAUGCUGAGGUGAGGGUGGCGGGGAGAGGGGUUGGAAAACAAUAACUUGGAAACUGGAGAAGGUCUCACCAGCAAGGGGGGCAGAUGGGAUCAUGCCUUUGAAGACAACCAGAAAAGUUUAAUCCAAUUUCCACCAGACACCCAAAUGUGCUCUAAAAGAGGAAUUUUCUCGAGAUUGAGAGUGAUGGAAACAGAACUGGAGAUAUUCAGGGAGAUAAAUGAGUGGGAGAGAUUUAUUGAUGAAGCAUGUAUAGAACUAAAUGUGGAAGUUAAAACAGCAGAAAAUGAGGUCCAGGAGAGGAAAUUGAGGGAAGAGGCAGUGUGUGUCAGGAGAGGAGCACGUGGGAAACGUGAAGUGAAGGCAGAGCUGUGAUAAGAGUCACAGCAUAGAGGCCGAGUUAGAACCGGAGCGAUUUGAAAAGAUAACUCCUCUGGGCAUUUGGGACAUACCCUGGGUCUUGAUAUCAGGAGUGACAUAUGGAUCUCAUAAAUUAUCCUUGGGUGAGUAUAAACUUAUUUCUGCCUUUAUCUCAUUCUGUCAAGUCGAAUUUCUAAAUAUUGUAGGUCCCCAAUGAAUGUCCAAAUAAAUAAAUAGCUACAGAAUAGCCUGUUUGCAAGUCAUGUGGAAGUGGGCUUCAGAGUCCAGACUUGCUGUGUGCUUAUUCUCAGAAACUUAUAGUAAGUCUUAGGUUAUAAUAAUAAUGAGAGAGAUCAAUUAUAUUAGAAUAUGCUGUGUUUCUAUUUCAUUUUAUAAUUUAGUUUUUAUUCAACGUAUUUUCAGCUCCUUUCGCUCAGUGGAACUGACGCUGUAGUGAGAGAAGUGAGGGCUGGGAUGCAGGAGCACAGAGGAGAAUGUGGACCAAGUCUGAGUCAGAUGAGUGCGUGAUCCACUUUGUUGCAGAAUUUUUGUUUCAAUGAGCUAUUUCUGUGUAAUAAGUUACUCUGAAACUUCAUGGCUUAAAAACAUGGACUCACUCAUGUGAUUGAAAUCAGAUGGCAGGUAGGAAAGUAGGAAGGUCCAAGAUGACCUCUCUCACAUUUCUCGGGCCUUGGCACUGGGCUGCCCCAUGGGUCUCUUAUCAUUUAGUGAUCCAGGCUUCACCUCCCUACAGGUGGUAGCACCAUUCCAAGAAGCUGCAGCUUCUUCCAUUCUAGAUUCCAGAAUUCACACAACCUCAUUGUACCCUGUUUGACUGGACAAAGCAAGUUACAAGGCCAUGCCAGGGCAAGGGCUGGGUAAGUGG
ensembl:lncRNA